ACCAAUUCUGCAACAAAAAUUGGAUGGAGCUCACGACGGAAGAUUAGCCACAACGAGCAUGGGAUUUUUUUUUUUUUUUAAAUGAAAGAAUUGCUUACGUUUUAACCAGUUGACUACAAACAUCGCUUUGAUGUUUGAUGUUUGCAUUAUGCAACAUCUGGAUAUAUUUUUUUUCAACUUCUGCACCUGCUAGAAAUGGGAAACCUGAGCUUACAACAGACUCGUAUUUCUUUCUAAAUGAAUGUCGUUGGUCUGUCGUAUGGGUUCGUGCAGGCAAUCCCAACAUGCGGCGUAUGUUUGCCAAGUUUAUACCCCGUCUGCUGACCACUCAACAGAAAGAACAUUGCGUCGAAGCCUGUGAAGAUCUUCGUUAGCCGCUGAUGACCCAUCCAUCAUGUCGACGAUCAUCACCGAUGACGAGAGUUGGAUCUACGGGUACGAUCCUGAGACGAAGUAAAAGUCGUCACAAUGGAAGAGCCCUUCAUCUACACAACCGAAGAUGGCACGAUAGUGCCGCAACUUAAUGAAGAGCUGGGGUUUUUUUCUCCGACAUCUGCGGUAUUGCAAUUUAUUAGCAAACGACUAUUCCUUCAUUGCAAACGAGUGGAGCCUACCUCUGAACAUGCGAAACGUGAAAACUUUUGUCCCCUAGCAUUGUUAAAAGUUCUGAUAACUGUCAAUUCUCUACACCAAUAUGUAGUCGCUUCAGAUAGAUAUAUAUCAGUCUAUCACCUUAAUAUUCCAUCACAUUUGUUCACCUCUACAUAUCUUUUUUUUUUUUUAUUUAUCAUAUAUAGCGAAAAUGCUGUGUAAACGGAACCGACAUUGACUUGGAUUCUUUCUUUUAAACUGUACUCUUUGAAGGGGAAUUACAUUGUUCUCUUCAAUUUCUUCCUCCCGCUGCGGAACCAUUGAGCAGACCGUUAAUUUAACUCGUCGAUGACUUGCUAAAUCUGUUGAAAAGGUGCUCUAGUUUACUAAACGAAAUCUACCCGUACAGUCAUGCAAGCUUUUCAUUCAUUUUCCUGCUUACUAUCUCGCAUAAGUAAUCGAAUAGAAAACCAGUUAACCUUUGCUUCUGCUGUAAAACUCUUAAAUUCAUUGCUUACGUCUUAUCUGGAUUGAAUACUUCCCGCUUGGAAGGUUUGGGGGGGGGGGUUAAAAUUCCUUUCAGUGUCUUGUGUACACUUCUCGGAAGGGCCUUGUUUAAAGCGUAACUAAAUAUGACAUACCCGAGAGACUUUUAUCACAUGUCGAUAUCGCUAAAUUUGAAACUAACAAAACAUGAGCCCUUGAACUAUAAACUCAGUUGUCGAGUGCGUAUUUUAACAUUUUAUCUUGCUAAAUAUAUUUUCGGCGGUUAGCACACUUAGAGACUGCCUGAUAACCCAACAAAAAUUUUAUAUGCCAUUGACUGUCACUAAAAUUGCCCUGCAUUCCAUCCGUUGGUUUCGUAUCCUGGCGCUGCUCUCAGAUAAAUACAACCGUACAGAAGCAAUUUCACUCUUUCAGAAGUAGUAACUAAAAGUAUGUAUUACAACUUUUUUCUCAUUCAAAAGUUUAUUCAUUCAGUCACUGUUUUGCCGUCGAGCAUUGUUGCCAUUAACUCUACAUGGUCACCCAAAGGAAAUGAUAGAUGGUGCGAAGUGAGGUCGAGCCCCAGGCGUAUUUCUUAACCAUACAGCCAUGACUUCGCCUAUGAAGACACAAAAUAAUUGUCUAAACACGGGCACAAGGUAUCAGCCGGAGCUGAUAACUAAUUCACUAAUUAUUUAAUAAAGGACGUAAUAAAAAAAAUAGCAGCUACCUCCCUUUCAAUUCAUACACUAGUCUUAAAUAGCAAACGAAAUGGUCCCAUAUGUCUCCCUCCAAAAGGACUGGAAGGACUUAAUAUUCCUUUAUCUAGGUUAACCCGUGUAUAAACUCUGAAGCCUCUGGAAGAUCCUUCAAUUCUCCCUGGUUUUUAAAUCCAGAAGUGAUCCAUUGGAAACUUUAGUCCUCUUAAAUACUCCUAACAACAACCUUGUUGUCGGUGCUGAGUUAGCUUUUGCGUUUGCUCAAAGCCGAAACUAAACAGUACCUUAUUAGUCUUUAUUGCAUUCUGUCUCUGAUUUUUUUUUUAGGUAAUUCUUGGUCUCAUUGUCAAUUAUUUAUGACAGCUUGUUUCUAAAGAUCUUUUUGGACAGAUUAAUUUGGUUGUUUCAAACCAAUAAGGCACUCGCUUCAACUACCAGAGAUGUUUCACCUAUUUAAAGAAGCAUCGAAUAUAUAAUUCACUACCACAGCUCUAACGAAAGAGAAUCUGCAGUGUGGUUUGGCCAAUUAGAAAUGGAUAACUAGUACUACUAGUGAACAGUGGUCCCGGUGCGCGCCCACGCGCAUCCGCGCUAGCUAGUCGUAAGUAGUCGAUCCUACGACUUGCGCGUACGUUUGUAUUUCAAGGCUGAAUACAUAUCAAAGAAAAUUAACUAAUAUUUUUCGAACAAAGUAAAUAAAACGCAAAGUAAAUCAUUCUUUAAACUAAGUAAAUCAUUUUUAUAAACAAACUAAGGUUAGGGUUGAAAAUAAACUAGGGUUAAUGUUAAAAAGUCGUUGUAGGAUCGACUACUUACGACUAGCUAGCGCGAGUGCGCGCACCGGGACCACUGUUCGCUAGUAGUACCUGGAUGAAUAUCCCUUAAAUAAACACUGGAUAAAGUUCUUUCAAAUUUUCUGAAAAAAAUAGGAUGGUUAUUGGCUGGAACGCUUUGUUGUUUGCUCAGGAUAAAUCUAUGCCUAAACAACUGACACGGUUUCAUCUAGUGUAAAGUUUAAAAAAAAUUUUAAUUUCAUUGUAAUUCAACUAAAUUAUCCUGAUGGAUUUGAAACUGCGCCAGCACCAACCACUUGUUUCAAGGUCUAACUUCAUUGCAAUUUAUCUAAAUUAUCCGGAUGGAAUUGAAACUGUUCCAGUGCCAACCACUUGUCACUAACAGCAUAUUUUAAUUUAAUGAUGAUGGAUUUCCAGUAGGUCUAGCGAAAAGCAAAAUAAAUCCACUCUGAUAUAUUCUUUGAAUCACGAGGUAAAUUUCGACGUUCCUCUGCGUUAAGGGAUGAUUACAGUAAAAUCUAUGGCUGCUUGAAUUUGUAAUAUUGAAUUCUCUUCAGAUUUUUCGUCAUUUUUCCAGCUUUUUCUUUUUGUUCCUGUCAAAGAUAGUAGAAUCGACCACCUGUUAAUAUUUUUCUUUGCAUUCCAGUAGCUAACACACUUAUGUUAACUCUUUGCCUACUCUAUGUAUCACAUGCCAUACACACUACAUUUCCCUGGUGGUCGUGUAUCACACACAUUCUGAAUUUUAUUUCACUCACCAAAGUAACCUGAGACUUAAAGGAAAGCUUUAUAUUAUGUGGCUGGGUGGUAAGAAGUUUGAUUCCCAAUCACGUGGUACCUUGGGCAAAUAUCUAUGGCCUCGGGCUGAACAGUCUUGAGAGUGGAUUUGGUAGACGGAAACUGAAAGCCUGUCAUUUAUGUGCAUCUGUCACUCACCACCUUGACAACCGAUGUUAGUGUGUUUACGUCCCUGUAACUUAGAGGUUCGCAAAAGAGACCUAGAAUAAGCACCAGGCUUACAAAGUCCUUAGAUCGAUUUGUUUGACUAAAAGCGGUGCUCCAGCGUGGCUGAAGUCAAAUGACUGAAACGAGAAAGAAUUACUUUGAACGUAUGAAACAAAAGCUAACUGGAACUCUGAAAACAAACGUUUUGGGCAAAAUUAUGGAAUGCUUCGAACAGGCAAAGGGUUAGAUUUUUUAUUCAGCAUCGUUUCAUUACUGAUUGCUAGGAAUGAAGCCAAAGACCAGUUUCGGGGUUGGAAAUGAACCGGCAUUCGUAAACUAAAUCUCAAACUUUUCUCAUUUUCAGCAUGAAAAAUUGACAACCGUGGGACACUGUUUUGACUCUGGCUGCUUUUAUGAAGGUAUAUAUUUUUCGUCAUACACUUUGUCGGUGGGAAGUGGAUGCUCCGGCUUCAUUAGCUUCCUGCCGGCAGUAUAGACUAUGUAGUUCAUAAUUCUUUGGAAAUUAAUAUUCCAAUCAAAUGAGUCGCUAUUGUUAGAUUUAUAGACACGGAUAUAGAUGUUAAGUUCUCUUCGAAACCAUGUUUCACGUUCAAUUCUAUUGUAGGGCAACUUGGAGUCUUCUACCGUUGCCUCAGAUUUAACAAAUCCUUGAGUAACAUUUAGUAAACGGCCGAAUGUGCGAGUGUAACUUUGAGAACGUUGCGUUUAUCUUUACUCGUAUCACUAUGCGGCCCCUUGUCAAGCGCUGACUUAGCCUAUCCAAUAAAGUUCUGGAAUGAAAAGUGCUAAGGUCAGCGUCAUUGCAAGGCUUCAAUAUGUAGCUGUGGUUCAGUGACUGAAACCGGUAUAAGCGAAGUGUUGCAUAAAUGAAAUGGUUUCUCUCGUGCAUAAUAACCAGAUAGGAUUUACCUCGGCAGAAGUUUACUACUUUGUCAAGUGCUGAUUGAUUUGGUUGAUGGAUACUUAAAUAUUUAUAUUGUAGUUGUCACGACGUGUGUUUGAGUUAGGUUUUUAUACGAUUAAAUCGAAAAUUUAAUGGAAACUCGAAACAUUGACACGAUGUUAUUGAAAGUUAUGAAUUUAGAUAUAAAAAUAGAAGCAAAGUCUAAAUUAUGGAAUUUCUGCUGUUUAUGCUCUUAAAUAUUAUUUUCAGUGGUCAAAUUGAACGACUGAUUUUCUUUUCUGUUGGAAAAUUAUCGAAGAUGGAAGAAAACACGAAACCUAUCCUGGAUCUAAUUUGACUUCCUGUUGAUUCCAUGCGAACCCAAAGACUGUUAUUGCAUCGGUUAUAUUUGAGUUUUAUUCAAAUUUAACUAAUUCUCAAGGUCAAGCGAGGAAAGCAGAAUAGAUGAAUUUAUCUCGAACUUUGUAUGCGAAAUUGAACUGGUCUGUAGAAUUUUUAUAAUUUCAUGAAGUUUGAUGCCUAAAUGAUGCUUUUUGCUUUCAUCGUCAUCCGACAGAUAUUGUGCAAACCUAUCGUUGAGUAAUUUAAAUGUUUUUUAGUGGAACAAAAAAACUUCCUGCAAAGUCGUUUGCAACCUCGUUUCAAUUUUGCAGUGUUAUUUUUUUUAUUUUUUUUAUAACCUACCUUAGGUCGUAUUAUUCCAUUUACAAAAAUUGUUCGUUACAGUUCAGUUUUGAAGUGUUUAUUUUCCUGAAGGCGAUGAAAACAUUGAAUAUUUCUUUUAUAAAUACCAAAAUCGGCGUCUCGUCCUUCAUUCUGCAUGACUAUUUAAAUUUUUUUAAAAACUUAUUCCUAGUCAAUAAUUUUGACUUUCUGCAAUUGUCUAUUAACGAAGCUUUCAUUAAACGCUCUAAAAUUUCCAAUGUAAUGGAAUUAGAGAUUGCAAUUCUAAAUAGUGCAACAGCUAUCUCACGAAAGGGUAUUUCUGAAAAAAAGCUUUCUGGCAGGAGUUUUUUUCUUUUUUCUUCAUUCUACCUUUUUAAUGCUUCUGUGUAAGUUAAUGACAACGACGUUUUGGCAGCACCAUAAGUGAAUAUGGGAUAUUCUACUAGUCCGGGAAUUUCUUGGGACCUAAUAAAAUCCUGCGUGUCUUGGGUUUCAGCUUCUAUCUCACUGAUUGGCACUUUGAGCAAGUGUCUUUUGCAAUUACUUUGUCCAAAAGUCAAAUUUAGAAGAUGGCAACUAUAAACCCUGCAGGAGGUAUUCUUGUACCUUGCUGAGUAUCUGCCGUCCUCUCUAGUACUACUCCUUGCAGUUCUUGGUUACC
rnacentral:lncRNA from 1 species